AGGGUUUGAUCAUGGCUCAGGAUGAACGCUAGCGGCAGGCCUAACACAUGCAAGUCGAGGGGCAGCGGGAGUGCUUGCACUUGCCGGCGACCGGCGCACGGGUGCGUAACGCGUAUGCAAUCUACCUUUUGCUAAGGGAUAGCCCAGAGAAAUUUGGAUUAAUACCUUAUAGUAUGGUGACUUGGCAUCAAGAUAUCAUUAAAGGUUACGGCAAAAGAUGAGCAUGCGUUCUAUUAGCUAGUUGGUGUGGUAACGGCAUACCAAGGCAGCGAUAGAUAGGGGUCCUGAGAGGGAGAUCCCCCACACUGGUACUGAGACACGGACCAGACUCCUACGGGAGGCAGCAGUGAGGAAUAUUGGACAAUGGAGGCAACUCUGAUCCAGCCAUGCCGCGUGCAGGAAGACUGCCCUAUGGGUUGUAAACUGCUUUUAUACAGGAAGAAACACCUCUACGUGUAGAGAUUUGACGGUACUGUAAGAAUAAGGAUCGGCUAACUCCGUGCCAGCCGCCGCGGUAAUAC
rnacentral:rRNA from 1 species